UACGGAGGGUCCAAGCGUUAUCCGGAAUCAUUGGGUUUAAAGGGUCCGUAGGCGGUUUUGUAAGUCAGUGGUGAAAGCCCAUCGCUCAACGGUGGAACGGCCAUUGAUACUGCAAGACUUGAAUUAUUGGGAAGUAACUAGAAUAUGUAGUGUAGCGGUGAAAUGCUUAGAGAUUACAUGGAAUACCAAUUGCGAAGGCAGGUUACUACCAAUAUAAUUGACGCUGAUGGACGAAAG
rnacentral:rRNA from 1 species